UACAGAGGAGCCAAGCGUUGUCCGGAUUGACUGGGCGUAAAGCGCACGCAGGCGGACGCGCGCGUGGGGUGUGAAAUCUGGCCGCUUAACGGCCAGGGGCCAUCCCAUACGGCGCGUCUGGAGCGCUGCAGAGGUCGGUGGAAUUGCCGGUGUAGUGGUGAAAUGCGCAGAUAUCAGGAGGAACACCAAUGGCGAAGGCAGCUCGCUGGGACGGUACUGACGCUGAGACGCGAAAGCGUGGGGAGCAAACAGG
rnacentral:rRNA from 1 species